UCGAGAAUUUUUCACAAUGGGGGAAACCCUGAUGGAGCGACGCCGCGUGGGGGAUGAAUGGCUUCGGCCCGUAAACCCCUGUCAUUUGCGAACAAACGGCAUUAUUUAAAAGAUGAUGUUUUGAUAGUAGCGAAAGAGGAAGGGACGGCUAACUCUGUGCCAGCAGCCGCGGUAAUACAGAGGUCCCAAGCGUUGUUCGGAUUCACUGGGCGUAAAGGGUGCGUAGGUGGUCAGGUAAGUCUGAUGUGAAAUCUCGAAGCUUAACUUCGAAACUGCAUUGGAUACUAUCUGGCUGGAGGAUCGGAGGGGGAACUGGAAUUCUCGGUGUAGCAGUGAAAUGCGUAGAUAUCGAGAGGAACACCAGUGGCGAAGGCGAGUUCCUGGACGAUUCCUGACACUGAGGCACGAAAGCUAGGGGAGCAAACAGGAUUAGAUACCCCCGUAGUCC
rnacentral:rRNA from 1 species